AUACGUAGGGGGCGAGCGUUGUCCGGAAUGAUUGGGCGUAAAGGGCGCGUAGGCGGCCUGUUAAGUCUGGAGUGAAAGUCCUGUUUUCAAGAUGGGAAUUGCUUUGGAUACUGAUGGGCUUGAGUGCAGGAGAGGUUAUCGGAAUUCCCGGUGUAGCGGUGAAAUGCGUAGAGAUCGGGAGGAACACCAGUGGCGAAGGCGGGUAACUGGACUGCAACUGACGCUGAGGCGCGAAAGUGCGGGGAGCAAACAGGAUUAGAUACCCUGGUAGUCCACACUGUAAACGAUGAAUGCUAGGUGUAAGAGGUAUCGACCCCUUUUGUGCCGGAGUUAACACAAUAAGCAUUCCGCCUGGGGAGUACGGCCGCAAGGUUGAAACUCAAAGGAAUUGACGGGG
rnacentral:rRNA from 1 species